GACCAGGAGCGGGGGUGGAGGGAGAGGGGGGAUGUCAGGAGUGAGGAGCCGGGGUCGAGCGGGGGUGGCCUUGACUACGUGGGAGGAGGGGCGGAAGGCGGGCGCCCUCCAGGGGACACUGCGCCCUUCCCUCGGGGCUCCAGGCAGCCGUGUACCCCGCACCUGUGCUUUUCUAGAAGCAGAGCUGGAAGGGACCUUAAUCUCUUACCCAGCCUUAUACCAUGGAUGGAGGAACUGAGGCCAAGCAUGGAUUUUGACUUGACUAAGGACUUUUCACUUAUGGCCAACAGAGGAAAUGCUGACUCUCUGGGGGCUUAUUCUCAGAUAAUGAGUUCAUCUGCUUCUUGCAUGUAGUGAAUUCAUUCAGCAGCUACUAAUUGCCGUGAAGCUCAUAUAAAGGUGACUGGGUGUAUCCUCUUGAUGGAAACCAGCUAUGUGAACAAGACCACUGUAUUGAAAGAGUGCAAGUGUUAGUUUGAAUGACUGUUUAAUGUUUGCAAAAAACGGGUUUGUUUUUAGACUAGGCUUAUUUCUUAAUGUUUGGUAGAAAGGAUAUAUAGAAAUGGUAAUGGGCCUUACUGAUGAAGAAAAGCAAGGUGACUUGAAUCAUCCUGGUUUUUUUUUCUUUCUUUUGAGUGUCAUUACUUUAAGACAAAAUUUUAUUAAAUAUCUUAGCACCUGGGUUUUUCUGUUUUAUUAAGUCAUAUAGAAUUUUGAGCAGUGUCAACAAAUACUAAGCUUCGCUGUAUUUCCUUAACAUUUUUUGUUCUGCAAAUAAAUCUACCACAUUGAUUAGACAAGUUGUUAAUUCAUGAAUAACAUGAGAUUAGAAACUAUGCUUCUCCAGUACAUGGGGUUUUCAAAACAUAAAAUUGUUUUAUUCUUUUUGUCAUAUUUAAUGGGUGCUAAAAAUGAUGAGAAAUUUUAAGUGAGGCAUGUUUUGAGUGUGAUAAAGAUUUGGUUAUGAGAUUAGAGCAUAGACAAGUUGAGAUGCAUAGCAUUAAUUUGGCUACUGUAUGAACAUUCUAGUUUCAUUAAUGCAGGACAGUUUUAUAAUUUAAUUCAUAUAACAGUUUUGUAACUAAUACAUGCAGAGCUUAAAGGUUGACUGCCAAGUUUUUAAAUUUACCAUUGGAAACUGAAACAUGGUAAGUAGAAAUGAAGCUGAUUAGGGUAGAGUUUACUGACAGUUGUGCACCAGAGUAGUGAUGAGAGCAGUAGAUUUGUGAUUUCCAAAGCAAUCUCUCCCUCUUAUACAGAGGCAGACAACAUCCAGCCUUUCAUAAAUGACUAAUUGUUUAACCAAUUUAUAUACUUUCUUAUUAAAUAUCUGUUACUUUUCAA